rnacentral:rRNA from 1 species
UCUUACAGCCAUGCCACCCUGAACAAGCCCGAUCCUGUCUGAACUCAGAAGCUAAGCAGGGUCGGGCCUGGUUAGUACUUGGAUGGGAGACCACCUAGGAAGAUCAGGUGCUUUAGGCG